rnacentral:rRNA from 1 species
ACGGGAGGCAGCAGUGGGGAAUAUUGCACAAUGGGGGAAACCCUGAUGCAGCGACGCCGCGUGAGUGAAGAAGUAUUUCGGUAUGUAAAGCUCUAUCAGCAAGGAAGAAAAUGACGGUACUUGACUAAGAAGCCCCGGCUAACUACGUGCCAGCAGCCGCGGUAAUACGUAGGGGGCAAGCGUUAUCCGGAUUUACUGGGUGUAAAGGGAGCGUAGACGGUAAGGCAAGUCUGAAGUGAAAUGCAUGGGCUCAACCCAUGAACUGCUUUGGAAACUGUCUGACUAGAGUGCAGGAGAGGUAAGUGGAAUUCCUAGUGUAGCGGUGAAAUGCGUAGAUAUUAGGAGGAACACCAGUGGCGAAGGCGGCUUACCGGACUGUAACUGACGUUGAGGCUCGAAAGCGUGGGGAGCAAACAGGAUUAGAUACCCUGGUA